AUAGCGCUCACUUCAGCUUUGAAUGCUUUGAAGAAUAGAGCAGCCCCAUCUCCCUUAUUCUGCUCACAUAGCUGAAACCCUGGGAGAGGCAGCGGAGGAAAAGGAGAGCCUGAGAAAACAGCAAUUCACACACGGAACACAGAGACCCCUGGUAGCUCAACAAAUGAGUGUCUAGCCCUGUGUCCAUUCAUAUCGCCCCCUCGGUCCGCAAGCCUAUUAGCCAGGCAUCGCUCCUUGAAACAUUCACUGUCGACAACAUGUGGAGGCAUCGCUAUAGCAACCAGUGGAUAUGACAUGUGCAAUGGACGGGGACUCCUGAGCUGCUGAAUAUAAGGAGGGGCUCAGCCUUAACUAAAUGAUCACAAAAAAAAAAAAUCAACCCCACCACCUCCACCUCCCCGUCUCUUUUCAUUGGCACACAGACGCUGAAAGGAUUCGCUAGUGGGGCUUCUGCACAUUCUUCUUCGGCUCGGAAAAUCAGGCGGGCAUAUCCCACAUUCUUCUUCUGCUUCUCCCUUUUCUUAUUCUCCGCGACUCUCUCUCUCUCUCUCUCUCUCUCUCUCUCUCUCUCUCUCUCUCUCUCUUUCCUCUUUUUCUUCAUCUCCGUGUUGAAGCCGCGCUCUUUUGUUGGCGCCGGGGGAACGCAUGGGACCCUCACAUGUAGGGGGAACUUUUUUUUGGAGAGAAGCGAGAAAGGCUGGAGUGGGCGGCCGUGGGACGCGCGGACAGACGCUUCUUGGAGCAGCGCGGAGCGUCAGUGGCUAAACUCGUUCUCUGGAAUACAGGACGCGGCAGCAUCCUCCGUUCACUGCUCUAAUGUUCGCUUUGCCUGGCGACAUGGAUUUGGAGGGGCAGCCUGACCCAGAUCCCCGUGGUGAAGGAGACCCGGGUGGAGUCGGGCCAGUUCCUGCUGCUCUCCGUCCUCUGCAUGCUCUUCAUCCUCGUGGCGCUCGCCGUGUCCACCACGUUCUUCUGCGUGCGGCAGCGCUCACACCUCCACAUGAAGGAGAAGCUGGCCAGCCUGGGGACUGACACCGGAACAGAUGCAACCGCAACCUAUCAGGAGCUCUGUCGCCAGCGCAUGGCCAUCCGGACGUCAGAGCGCGUGGAGAGGCG